UGUUGUGAACUCGAAGAGUAGGGCGGGACACGUGGUAUCCUGUCUGAAUAUGGGGGGACCAUCCUCCAAGGCUAAAUACUCCUGACUGACCGAUAGUGAACCAGUACCGUGAGGGAAAGGCGAAAAGAACCCCGGCGAGGGGAGUGAAAAAGAACCUGAAACCGUGUACGUACAAGCAGUGGGAGCACCUUCGGGUGUGACUGCGUACCUUUUGUAUAAUGGGUCAGCGACUUAUAUUCUGUAGCAAGGUUAACCGUAUAGGGGAGCCGAAGGGAAACCGAGUCUUAACUGGGCGUUAAGUUGCAGGGUAUAGACCCGAAACCCGGUGAUCUAGCCAUGGGCAGGUUGAAGGUUGGGUAACACUAACUGGAGGACCGAACCGACUAAUGUUGAAAAAUUAGCGGAUGACUUGUGGCUGGGGGUGAAAGGCCAAUCAAACCGGGAGAUAGCUGGUUCUCCCCGAAAGCUAUUUAGGUAGCGCCUCGUGAAUUCAUCUUCGGGGGUAGAGCACUGUUUCGGCUAGGGGGUCAUCCCGACUUACCAACCCGAUGCAAACUGCGAAUACCGAAGAAUGUUAUCACGGGAGACACACGGCGGGUGCUAACGUCCGUCGUGAAGAGGGAAACAACCCAGACCGCCAGCUAAGGUCCCAAAGUCAUGGUUAAGUGGGAAACGAUGUGGGAAGGCACAGACAGCCAGGAUGUUGGCUUAGAAGCAGCCAUCAUUUAAAGAAAGCGUAAUAGCUCACUGGUCGAGUCGGCCUGCGCGGAAGAUGUAACGGGGCUAAACCAUGCACCGAAGCUGCGGCAGCGACACUAUGUGUUGUUGGGUAGGGGAGCGUUCUGUAAGCCGUUGAAGGUGUCCUGUGAGGGAUGCUGGAGGUAUCAGAAGUGCGAAUGCUGACAUAAGUAACGAUAAUGCGGGUGAAAAACCCGCACGCCGGAAGACCAAGGGUUCCUGUCCAACGUUAAUCGGGGCAGGGUGAGUCGACCCCUAAGGCGAGGCCGAAAGGCGUAGUCGAUGGGAAACAGGUUAAUAUUCCUGUACUUGGUGUUACUGCGAAGGGGGGACGGAGAAGGCUAUGUUGGCCGGGCGACGGUUGUCCCGGUUUAAGCGUGUAGGUGUGUGUUCCAGGUAAAUCCGGUUCACUUUAACACUGAGGCGUGAUGACGAGGCACUACGGUGCUGAAGUGACAAAUGCCCUGCUUCCAGGAAAAGCCUCUAAGCAUCAGGUAACACGAAAUCGUACCCCAAACCGACACAGGUGGUCAGGUAGAGAAUACCAAGGCGCUUGAGAGAACUCGGGUGAAGGAACUAGGCAAAAUGGUGCCGUAACUUCGGGAGAAGGCACGCUGAUAUGUAGGUGAAG
rnacentral:rRNA from 1 species